rnacentral:tRNA from 1 species
CGGGCCGUCGUAUAAUGGCAGUAUUUGCGCAUGGGGUGCGUAAGGCCCGGGUUCGAUUCCCGGCGGCCCGA